rnacentral:lncRNA from 1 species
UUGUGGGCUUGAUCUUAAUGCUUCAUAAACUUCUUUCACAAACAACUGACCAUCUGACACAUCAUGCGAAGGGUGAUCGUCGUUUCCCGGUAUAGCUUUGAUCCCAAAAUAUCUUUGUUCGACAACAACGUAGUUUGGUAGCUUCCCUUCCUUGCAAUGUCGUUUGAAGUGUAGAUCGAAUUGGUAGAAGUUGUCUAUGUACUUCAGUUUUCGUAGAAAAGAGUUGAUGGAGGUAACUGAUAGUAAAUUCCGAAAGAAAAACCAUUAUCUUCCACCGACUCAAAUAUAGUCUUCUGAGGGUACCCUUCUAUCAUCAUCUUGUUAUCAUUCGUCGUUGCACCAUAUGAAGUCGCAGAGUGAACAUACA